AUUUUCUUCUCUGUAAAUAAAAAAAAUAUUACGGGAGGAGAAUUUUGUUCAAUUUCUAUUCAUUUAUUUAUUAUUAUUAUAUCCAGGUCCACGACCACGACGCUACGCCACCGCGAUCUACGCCGACGUCUCCGGCGGACCUUCGCGCGCCCUCCGCUCCCCUCUACCACCACCGCUGCCGCGACCCCGCCUCCGGAGCAUCCUCGUUCUGGCUUCCCGCGCCGGCGGACGUCCUGGUGGCGGAGGCGGCCUCCGUGGCCUGUUGAUGAGGGCCGCCACCGCUCUCCCUCGCCGAUCGGCCCGGGCCCCGGAGCCGGGGUCCUCCUCCUCCCGGGCUCUUGCCCACGGAGCCGCCUUCAAUCCCUUCGACGUCGAUACCGACCCGCCGCCGCGGCCUGAGCUGUCGCCCGAGCAGAUCGGGCUUUGCAGUGACGCGCUCGCGCGCUUCGAGGACAAGGGGAAACGCCCAGAUGGCUUGUCCGACGAGUACAGAAAACUCUCGGGUAUUAGACAUAUGAAAACGAUCAGUGUAGCUCAUUAUCCUGUUAAUAGAGGAAAGAACCGAUAUAUUGAUGUCUUACCAUUUGAUGAUACCAGAGUACGGCUCUCAGCACGACCUCCAAACAAUGAUUACAUCAACGCAAGCUUUAUAAAGGCUACUGAGAACAACAGAGUUGCACCAUUUAUUUCUACACAAGGUCCACUAGUGAAGACAUUUGGAGAUUUCUGGGAAAUGGUUCAUGAAUAUCAGUGCCCUGCAAUUGUCAUGCUCACUCAAUUUGACAGUAUUAAGUGUGAUAAAUAUCUUCCACUGGAAAGUGGACGACAAAAAUAUGGGAAUUACGAUAUCAAGAUUACGAAGACAAGAACAGAUAGCCACCACUUACAGUUGCGUGAUGUCAAGGUGCAAAACAAUGAGUCAGGCGAGGUUCAUUCUGUACUCCAUAUAGUAUAUCCUGAUUGGCCCGACCAUGGAGUGCCAACUAAUACCGAUGCUGUACGACAAAUCUGGAAACGACUGCAUCACAUUCCAACGGAACAUCCUAUAGUUAUCCAUUGCAGUGCAGGUAUUGGAAGAACUGGUGCUUACAUCACAAUCCAUACUACGAUUGAGAGAAUUCUCCUUGGAGAUAAAAGCUCAUACGAUCUUGUUGAAACUGUAAAGAAUUUUAGAUCCCAACGAACUGGAAUGGUCCAAACAGAGUCUGUUUUAGACUUUCACCUAAAAGAUAUCCCAUGUCCAGCAUAAUUUCAGCACAUGAAACAGAGCCUUGAAAAAGUGGCGCUCACAUUACAAUUUACAGAACAGUUAUCAGUAGUUUCAGAUGGACCUUUUCAUAAGCAUAUUUCUACUCUUCAGGAACAAUACAAGUUCUGCUACCAGGCAAUUGCUGACGAGCUGAAAGACCUGCUAAAUUCAGAUCAUUGAGCUGUAGGAAGAUCUGCAGUGCUGUUGGUUAUUCGGAAUGGCCGUAUUUCUGUGUGCACCAUUUUUUGUGUGGAUCUCUUGAUAAUUGAUCGGCUGCGUCAAGAUCAUGAUGGCACCAUUAUUCCAACAUGAACUCCACUAGAUUGUUACCACCACCUACUUGAGUGUAAAGAACCAUAGGAAGCUUCAUUUGUGAGCUUUUUUUGUAUAUGAACAAAACAAUGUUUGGAACUGAGCUGUCAUUUGCCAGGCAAUUUGAUUCCAUGCUUUGAGGUUCAAAUUGAUCUGUGGGUGUGGGUGUGGGUGUGUGUGUGGGUGUUUUGAGUAGCUCCAGAAUUUACUGAUUGGCUUGGCUUCAGAGGUCUUCAAUCUUGGCAUGCAGCGUUGCAUCAAUAUCUCCCAUCCGCAUUUCUCCUCCUUUGCUGUUACUCUAUAUUAUUUUGUUUCGGAAACAUUUUUUUGUAGAGAAGAUAGUGAGGCAAUGCCAAGUGUACGCCUAUAUUUAGAGGGCUCCAGAUUCGAUGGGCCCCAGGAGGGAUGUAAACCGCUGCUAACAUGGCCACAGCAUGUGGCUUUUGGUGGAGGGCGGCAUCAGUAGUUUGAGAAGCCAAGCUUCAGAAGCAGAAAAGUUGUAACCUAUUGUUGAAUUGAGAUUUUAUCUCAAUAUUGACUUUAAUGAUUGAUUGCAUUUGUCAA